GACGAACGCUGGCGGCGCGCCUAACACAUGCAAGUCGAACGAGAGAUGAGGAGCUUGCUCUUCAAAUCGAGUGGCGAACGGGUGAGUAACGCGUGAGGAACCUGCCUCAAAGAGGGGGACAACAGUUGGAAACGACUGCUAAUACCGCAUAAGCCCACGGCUCGGCAUCGAGCAGAGGGAAAAGGAGCAAUCCGCUUUGAGAUGGCCUCGCGUCCGAUUAGCUAGUUGGUGAGGUAACGGCCCACCAAGGCGACGAUCGGUAGCCGGACUGAGAGGUUGAACGGCCACAUUGGGACUGAGACACGGCCCAGACUCCUACGGGAGGCAGCAGUGGGGAAUAUUGCACAAUGGGGGAAACCCUGAUGCAGCGACGCCGCGUGGAGGAA
rnacentral:rRNA from 1 species